rnacentral:rRNA from 1 species
AGUGGCGGACGGGUGAGUAGAGAGGGGGAACCUGCCUUGGAGUGGGGGAUAACCGAGGGAAACUUCGGCUAAUACCGCAUGCGCCCCGGCGCGAGCCGGGGGAAAGAUUGAUCGCUCCAAGAGGGGCCCGCGUCGGAUUAGGUAGUUGGUGGGGUAACGGCCUACCAAGCCUGUGAUCCGUAGCUGGUCUGAGAGGAUGAUCAGCCACACUGGGACUGAGACACGGCCCAGACUCCUACGGGAGGCAGCAGUGGGGAAUAUUGGACAAUGGGCGCAAGCCUGAUCCAGCAAUGCCGCGUGAGUGAUGAAGGCCUUAGGGUUGUAAAGCUCUUUCGGCGGGGACGAUGAUGACGGUACCCGCAAAAGAAGCCCCGGCUAACUUCGUGCCAGCAGCCGCGGUAAUACGAAGGGGGCGAGCGUUGUUCGGAUUUACUGGGCGUAAAGGGCGCGUAGGCGGCGGACCGAGUCGAGUGUGAAAGCCCCGGGCUCAACCUGGGAGGUGCGCUUGA